CUCUGCCCCCGUUCUCCAUCCAUCCAUCCAUCGCCGCCGCCGCCCUGAGAUAUAUCAUGCGAUCAAGAGACCCGGCCUCUCCGAUCUGCAGGCGGGCGAUUUAUCAAAGCGAAGCGAUCGGGCCCCCAAAUCUCUCUGCUUCGCAGCUGUCGAACCGGGGAGUAAACAGCGCUUGAGCGUGCAAAGAAUACGCGCGUCUUUUUUUCAAACUGUUGUGGGUGCACAGAGAAAGAGAUCUCCUGCUUUUAUUUUUCUUUUUUUUAUUACAUAACUCAAGGCAGCGAACAUAUUGUACCACGUUAUACCUUGAUGAAGGUAUCUUUUCUUUUAGCAUAUGCACCAAGACAAAUUCCUUGUGUGUCCAAUCACACUUGGCCAAUAACAAAUGCUAUUCUAUUCUAUUCUAUUCUAUUCUAUAUCUAAUACAGGUGUAGUCCUGGAGUUACCACCACAGUGGAGCCCAAAAUUUAGGCUGACAAGUGAGACGUUUGUUAAGUGACUUUUCCCCAUUUUACCUUGUUAAGUGAAUCAUUGCAUUUGUUAGUCACAUGGUUGUUAACUGAAUCGGGCUUCCCCAUUGAUCUUUUUUUUUGCUGGUCAGAAGGUCGCAAAAGGGGAUUCCAUGACCCGGGGACACUGCAACGGUCAUAAACAAGUUGGAACAUAUGGUGAUUUCUCAAUUCCAGUUUCACGUCGGUGAUCAAUACUUAUACAUUUUCUCUCUCUUAUCCUAAUGUAUCUUUUAUACAUAUAUUUCUAAUACAGCAUAUAAACAGCUAAACAGCUGCAAUCACACAUUGCUCCCAGAAGCACGAAGCUGAAGCAUGAAGAUGACGAAUGAGACUUCGUCGAAAUGUCACCAAGACACUUCCAAUUUUACGCGGGAGAAAACCCGAAUAACCAAAGACCUACACACACACACACACACACACACACACACACACACACACACAUGAUAUUACAUUAUUUUCAAUUACAUUUAAUUUUUCUCUUGGCACAUGACUUUUUUUCUGGCCUUGUUUAAUUUUUGGAGUGAGCCAAGGUCAAUCCUUGGCCUUAAAAAAGUGCUGCCACUGAUUCAGAUCACUUCAACUCCAAUUUCUGUUGCUGGUGAUUGGACGCUGUGCAACUACAACGGAUCCUCUGGACAACUAAGUAGCUUCUGAUUGUCGACUCUCUUCCUCCCCCCAUGUCCUUAGGAGAUGACUUUGACUUCUUUAACUAGGUUAAUGUGUUUUUUAUUAGCUAACAGCUCAAUGAAGAUUGCAAACCAGCAUAGACAGUAAGUCUUUUUUGUUUUGCAGCAAUCUUUCUUCACUUUCUCUUUCCUCUCCCUCCCUUCUUUUAUCCUUCCUACUUUCUUCACUCCUCUCCUACUCCUUCUCUAUUUCCACUUCCUUUCUCCCCUCCUCCUUUCUUCUUCCCUAUCUAACCUUCUCUCCUACUCUUAUUUCCCCUUCUUUUCUUCCCCUCCUCUUCCCUUUCUUCUCUUUCUCUCUUUCCUUCUCUCUUUCUUCUGUCUCUCUACUCCUUCUUAUCUCUCUCUAUUGCUGUGUAAUACUGUCAAUUCACUAUAGUAUUUUUCUAAAACUUGGCAACUCCAAAUCUCAACCAGCAAAUGCUCAGUCUUACAUAUUGGAAAAAAGAACCUAAACACUAAGUACAAGCUUGAUGGACAUUACCUUACAGAUGACCCCCACCCUGUUAAAGACCUUGGAGUUUUCAUUCAAAUGAUCUAAGUGCCAAAGCCCACUGCAACUACAUCGCAAAAAAGGCUUUAAGAGUUGUAAACCUAAUCUUCUUCUCCAAAAACACUACACUACUAACCAGAGCAUAUAAAACAUUUGCUAGACCAAUCCUUGAAUACAGCUCGCCUGUCUGGAACCCAUACCACAUUUCUGACAUCAAUACAAUUAAAUAUGUCCAGAAAUAUUUUACAAGAAGAGUUCUCCACUCCUCUGAAUACAGCAAAAUACUUUAUGCCACCAGAUUUGAAAUCCUGGGUUUAGAAAAUUUAGAACUACACCGCCUUUGACAUGACCUGAGUUUAACUCAUAGAAUCAUCUAUUACAAUGUCCUUCCUGUCGAAGACUACUUCAGCUUCAAUUGCAACAAUACAUGAGCACACAAUCUUGAUUGCAGAAAAUAUGACUUUAGUAACAGAGUUGUUAAUACUUGGAAUAAACUAUCUGACUCUCUGCUCUCUUCCCAAAAUCCCCAAAGCUUCAGCCAAAAACUGUCUACUAUUGACCUCACCCCAUUUUUAAGAGGUCUGUAAGGGGCGUGCAUAAGAGCACAAGCGUGCCUACCAUUCCUGUCCUAUUGUUUCCUUUCAUUAUAUCCAAUUAAUAUAGUUAUUACAUGAUCAUACUUAUAUAUAUGCUUAUAUAUUGUAUAAUUAUUACAUGCUUAUAUAUACUGUGUGACAAAUAAAAAUAAAUAAACUAAUAAACUAUGGUUAAAGACAACCCCUGUUUUUCCUCCAUUUAUUCAGUAUAUUUCUCAGAGUUCCCCUCAUAUAUUUUUAAUUAUUAACAAUGUAUUUCAACUUAUUCCAUUUUUACCUUACAACCUUUUAGUUAGUUCAACCUUCCACCUCUUAUUUUCUUUAAAUUCUUAUUCCUAGUUCAAUAAUUAUUUUUCUCUUUCAUUAGCUACGUCUAUGCCUUGACUUUAUAGAGCUGAAGAGGAAGAAGCCGCUAUCUUCCAGUUGCAUUUAAUAGACAAGAACAUGGAAUUCUACCACAUCUAAGACUGGCAACUACCUGCUUAAUGGCAAUUAUUUUCUUAAUCAGCUUGGCAAAUUUUGGGAACAGCCAAGAAAAAUGCUCCAAAAGUCUUUUUUUUUUUUUUUAGGACAAAGAUAAAUGAAGAUUGUGUAGAUUGGCACUCCCUGGAACAAGGCAAAUUCAACUCCCAGACAGGCCCAAACAAGAAAGACGAUGUUGGAAUGGAAGACUAGCUUCCGGCAUCCACAUCCCAGGAUGCCUGGCUUCCCCCCUACACCUAUCUCAGAAUGCUGAAAAAACUAAUUUAAACUACAAUCAGCACCAGUUUACACAGGGCACAAGAAACUCCGUUAAUCAAUUUCCUGAUAUUAUUACUCUGGAGAGUCAUACUUUCUGGAAAAUAAUACUCUGGAGACCCAGUUUGGUAUUAUGGCUAAGCUCUGGCCUAGAAAACUAGGCGGCUGUGAGUUCUAGUCCUGCCUUAGGCAUGAAAGCUAGCUGGAUGACAUAGUCCUGUCACUCUCUCUCCGCCCCACCCACCUCACAGGGCUGUUGCUUUGGAGAAACUAGGAGAAAGAAAGGAGUGUUUCGUAUGUUUGCCGCCUUGAGUUACUUAUAAAGCAAUAAAGUCAUUUAGGUUUUAAACUCCAAUCGACACCAAACUGCACAACGCACACACACACACACAAAAAACUCGUUUUAAUCAGUCUUCUAAUAAUAUUACUCUUGCUAUAAUGCUGUUGUUAGUGGGGAAAACGAACAGGACAUCUGGGUUUUAUCCAGUCUAAAUCAAUCCUCUGCCCUUAAGCUGGCAAGGAAGGAAAUGCAGAUAUUUGUCUCUCUUAUCCUGCCCCCAGGGACUAACAGCCACACUUAGGAAAGUGGGGGGAAAGCAAAUUAUUCUACUACCCAUCAAAUUUAAUACGCUCCCCACCCCCCACCCUGCCAUGAAACGAAAUGAAGUAUAAAGAAACUCUGGGAGAUAAUGUAUUAAUAGAUACGUUUAUCUAUUUAGUUAUCUAUUUAGUAAUAGAUAUAUUUUCUAUGAUUAUACCAGUAAUAUAUUUUCUAGGUUUUUUUCCCCAGAGGCAGAAGAUUCCCUCCUAAGAUCUUUGAGGAGGAGACGAAAGAGCAAAGAGACAAGCAGAUGAAAAGUGGUUUUACCAACACUGAUGUUAUUAUCUGCAGAGUCUCAGCCACUCAAAUUCAGAAUGCCAAGAGACAGGCAAAUUUCACUCCAAGAUUGUCGGAGGCAAGCUAAUUCCACCUCAGGAGUGGGGAAAAAAUAUAUGCACACAUGUACACAGCUCUUCAUUGAAAUGCCACCCCCACAGUCGAGAUGUCCCCAAGUGGCUCUUAUCAACUAAGAAUUUCUGAAGGAGCCCCCAAGGCCUCCCCAACGUAUUAAAGAAAUGAACAGCCACUCGAUAUAUCCCAGAUGUGAGACACAUAUUCAUGAGUGAGGGAAGCAACACGUGUUACUGCAGAGAGAUGAACAUUUAUCUGCUAUUGGAAAAAAUGGAGGGAGGGAGGGAAAGAGAGGAAGAGAGAGAGAGGGGAAGAGAGA